GUGCUGGCUUUGGCAGCACACAUACUAAAAUUAGAACGAUUACAGAGAAGAUUAGCAUGGCCCCCGCCCAAGGAUGACAGGCAAAUUUGUGAAGCGUUCUGUAUUUUU